UACGAAGGGGGCUAGCGUUGUUCGGAAUUACUGGGCGUAAAGCGCGCGCAGGCGGCUAUCCAAGUCAGUGGUGAAAGCCCGGAGCUCAACUCCGGAACUGCCAUUGAAACUGUUUAGCUUGAGGACGAGAGAGGUGAGUGGAAUUCCCAGUGUAGAGGUGAAAUUCGUAGAUAUUGGGAAGAACACCAGUGGCGAAAGCGGCAACCUGGCUCGAUACUGACGCUCAUGCACGAAAGCGUGGGGAGCAAACAGG
rnacentral:rRNA from 1 species